UAGGGAAUAUUGGACAAUGGGGGCAACCCUGAUCCAGCCAUGCCGCGUGAGUGAAGAGGGCCCUCGGGUUGUAAAGCUCUUUUGUCCGGAAAGAAAAGCUUCGGGUUAAUACCCCGGGGUUCUGACGGUACCGGAAGAAUAAGCACCGGCUAACUUCGUGCCAGCAGCCGCGGUAAUACGAAGGGUGCAAGCGUUACCCGGAAUUACUGGGCGUAAAGCGUGCGUAGGUGGUUGUUGAAGUCUGAUGUGAAAGCCCUGGGCUCAAACUGGGAAUGGCAUUGGACACUGGGCAGCUAGAGUGCGAUAGAGGGUGGUCAAAUUCCCGGUGUAGCAGUGAAAUGCGUAGAGAUCGGGAGGAACAUCUGUGGCGAAGGCGACUGCCUGGACCAGCACUGACACUGAGGCACGAAAGCGUGGGGAGCAAACA
rnacentral:rRNA from 1 species